GCCGGGCGCGGUGGCACGUACCUGUAGUCCCAGCUACUCGGGAGGCUGAGGUGGGAGGAUCGCUUGAGCCCAGGAGUUCUGGGCUGCAUGCGCUAUGCCGAUCGGGUGUCCGCACUAAGUUUGGCAUCAAUAUGGUGACCUCCCGGGAGCCGGGGACCACCAGGUUGCCUAAGGGGUUGAACCAGCCCAGGUUGGAAACGGAGCAGGUCAAAACUCCCGUGCUGUGGGAUCGCGCCUGUGAAUAGCCACUGCACUCCAGCCUGGGCAACAUAGCAAGACCUCCUCUCUU
ensembl:misc_RNA Metazoa_SRP Metazoan signal recognition particle RNA